UACGAGGGGGCGAGCGUUGUUCGGAAUUAUUGGGCGUAAAGAGCUCGUAGGCGGCCUGUUGCGUCCGCUGUGAAAGCCCGGGGCUUAACCCCGGGUCGGCAGUGGAUACGGGCAGGCUAGAGGUAGGUAGGGGAGAAUGGAAUUCCCGGUGUAGCGGUGAAAUGCGCAGAUAUCGGGAGGAACACCAAUGGCGAAGGCAGCUCGCUGGGACGGUACUGACGCUGAGACGCGAAAGCCAGGGGAGCGAACGGGG
rnacentral:rRNA from 1 species